UGGUAGUUUGCUGUUACUAUUCAAUAUGGUAUGGAAGACACUAAAAGAAACGUGGCUGUUGUCAAGAAAAAUAAAACGGAUAAGGUCCCUUCUACCACAGCCGUUAUUGCAGUAUGGCAUGUAGGUCCUUUGCAUUUUGGUGGUGUGAUAAAGAGGGUGACAGCAGGCUGAUGAACAUGAUGGAUUGGACCUAAUUAAAUGGCCAACGUUUACUCUUGUUUGCCCUUUCCAUUGGAAUGUCCUCUAGCCCUGGAGCAAUGGGGGUUUAUGGUCCCAAAUGAAUGAGCACAGGAACCAACCUGGAAUUCCUUAGUUCAUUAAUGUGGAUUAUAUAGAGGCAAAGAUGUGUACAGAGAACAGGGUGUGGAGAAUAAUACUGCAGGAGAUUAACUACAAUUUCAAAAUAGUCAACACCUGGAUUUGUUAUUCAAUUCCACAUUUCAAAUUGUAAUGUAGUAUUGCGCAACAGUAUGUUUCAGUACCAUUAAGUUCAGAAAUUAGACCGAAGAUUAUUGCCAUGCCUAUAUGACAGGAAUUUAAUGUCAGUUACUUUCACUCCAAACAGAGAACA